GACGAACGCUGGCGGCGUGCUUAACACAUGCAAGUCGAACGGUAAGGCCCUUCGGGGUACACGAGUGGCGAACGGGUGAGUAACACGUGGGUGAUCUGCCCUGCACUUCGGGAUAAGCCUGGGAAACUGGGUCGAAUACCGGAUAGGACCACUGCCUGCAUGGGUGGUGGUGGAAAGCUUUUGCGGUGUGGACUGGGCCCGCGGCCUUUCAGCUUGUUGGUGGGGUGAUGGCCUACGAAGGCGACGACGGGUAGCCGGCCUGAGAGGGUGACCGGCCACACUGGGACGGAGAUACGGCCCAGACUCCUACGGGAGGCAGCAGUGGGGAAUAUUGCACAAUGGGCGCAAGCCUGAUGCAGCGACGCCGCGUGAGGGAUGACGGCCUUCGGGUUGUAAACCUCUUUCAGCACCGACGAAGCGCAAGUGACGGUAGGUGCAGAAGAAGGACCGGCCAACUACGUGCCAGCCGCCGCCGUAA
rnacentral:rRNA from 1 species